rnacentral:rRNA from 1 species
CUACGGGGGGCUGCAGUGGGGAAUAUUGCACAAUGGAGGAAACUCUGAUGCAGCAACGCCGCGUGGAGGAUGACACUUUUCGGAGCGUAAACUCCUUUUAUAUAGGAAGAAGAUGACGGUACUAUAUGAAUAAGCGCCGGCUAACUCCGUGCCAGCAGGCCGCGGUAAUACGGAGGGCGCAAGCGUUACUCGGAAUCACUGGGCGUAAAGAGCGUGUAGGCGGAUUAAAAAGUCAGAAGUGAAAUCCUAUAGCUUAACUAUAGAACUGCUUCUGAAACUCUUAAUCUAGAAUAUGGGAGAGGUAGAUGGAAUUUCUGGUGUAGGGGUAAAAUCCGUAGAGAUCAGAAGGAAUACCGAUUGCGAAGGCGAUCUACUAGAACAUUACUGACGCUAAGGCGUGAAAGCGUGGGGAGCAAACAGGAUUAGAUACCCCGGUAGUC